rnacentral:rRNA from 1 species
UGAACGCUGGCGGCAUGCCUUACACAUGCAAGUCGAACGGUAACGCGGGGCAACCUGGCGACGAGUGGCGAACGGGUGAGUAAUGCAUCGGAACGUGCCCAGAAGUGGGGGAUAGCCCGGCGAAAGCCGGAUUAAUACCGCAUGAGACCUGAGGGUGAAAGCGGGGGAUCGCAAGACCUCGCGCUUUUGGAGCGGCCGAUGUCAGAUUAGCUAGUUGGUGGGGUAAAGGCCUACCAAGGCGACGAUCUGUAGCUGGUCUGAGAGGACGACCAGCCACACUGGGACUGAGACACGGCCCAGACUCCUACGGGAGGCAGCAGUGGGGAAUUUUGGACAAUGGGCGCAAGCCUGAUCCAGCCAUGCCGCGUGCGGGAAGAAGGCCUUCGGGUUGUAAACCGCUUUUGUCAGGGAAGAAACGCUCUGGGCUAAUACCCUGGGGUAAUGACGGUACCUGAAGAAUAAGCACCGGCUAACUACGUG